rnacentral:rRNA from 1 species
UUGGAGGGCAAGUCUGGUGCCAGCAGCCGCGGUAAUUCCAGCUCCAAUAGCGUAUAUUUAAGUUGUUGCAGUUAAAAAGCUCGUAGUUGAAUUUCGGGAUCAAUUUGCUGGUCGUGCCUCUGGUACGUACUGGUAUUAUUGGUUUCUCCCUUCUGACGAACCAUGAUGUCAUUAAUUUGAUGUCGUGGAGAAUCAGGACUGUUACUUUGAAAAAAUUAGAGUGUUUAAAGCAGGCAUUAGCUUGAAUACAUUAGCAUGGAAUAAUGAAAUAGGACGUUUGAUCCUAUUUUGUUGGUUUCUAGGAUUGACGUAAUGAUUAAUAGGGAUAGUUGGGGGCAUUAGUAUUCAAUUGUCAGAGGUGAAAUUCUUGGAUUUAUUGAAGACUAACUACUGCGAAAGCAUUUGCCAAGGAUGUUUUCAUUAAUCAAGAACGAAAGUUAGGGGAUCGAAGACGAUCAGAUACCGUCGUAGUCUUAACCAUAAACUAUGCCGACUAGGGAUCGGAUGAUGUUAAUUUUUUAAUGACUCAUUCGGCGCCUUACGGGAAACCAAAGUGUUUGGGUUC